UACGGAGACUGCAAGCGUUACUCGGAUUUACUGGGCGUAAAGAGUGCGAAGGUGGAAAAGCGUGUCAAAUGUAAAAUCCUAAGGCUCAACCUUAUGGCAGCAUUUGAAACUACUUUUCUAGAGGUCUGGGGAAGUAAGUGGAAUUUUUAGUGUAGCGGUGAAAUGCGUAGAUAUUAAAAAGAACACCAAAGGCGAAGGCAACUUACUAAACGGAACCUGACACUAAUGCACGAAAGCGUGGGGAGCGAAAGGG
rnacentral:rRNA from 1 species